rnacentral:tRNA from 1 species
GAUAAGGUGGCAGAGUGAAUGGUGCAGUAGAUUGUAAAUUUAUAAAGGCGGGUUUAAGUCCCUCCCUUAUCA